rnacentral:ncRNA from 1 species
AAUUUAACAAUGAUCAGAAGAGUAGUUUACUAAAACUGGAUUCAGCGAGUCGUGGAUAGUGGAAGCAUGGCCAAUGUCGUAAGCGAAACACAUCUGUAAGUUGAUAACUUGAAAUUUAACUAGAGUUGUCCGGUGAUUCCGUUAUCAUUUGAAGUUAACUUAACUUGUUGAGGUUGUUUAUGUGAAUAAAUAACGAACAUGAGGUGGAACCGCGAUGAACUCGUCCUCUUA